rnacentral:rRNA from 1 species
GACGAACGCUGGCGGCGUGCUUAACACAUGCAAGUCGAACGAAGUGGCGAACGGGUGAGUAACGCGUAAACAACCUGCCCUUCAGAGGGGGACAACAGUAGGAAACGACUGCUAAUACCGCAUACUGAAGGAGGGGAUUGCGGCUGAUUAGCUAGUUGGAGGGGCAACGGCCCACCAAGGCGAUGAUCAGGAGCCGGUCCGGGCGGAUGGACGGCCACAGUGGGACGGAGGCACGGCCCAGACUCCUACGGGAGGCAGCAGUGGGGGAACUUCCGCAAUGGACGAAAGUCUGACGGAGCAACGCCGCGUGAGUGAUGACGGCCUUCGGGUUGUAAAGCUCUGUUAAUCGGGACGCGGUACCGGAAUAGAAAGCCACGGCUAACUACGUGCCAGCAGCCGCGGUAAUUC